UGGGGAAUCUUGCACAAUGGGCGAAAGCCUGAUGCAGCCAUGCCGCGUGAAUGAUGAAGGCCUUAUGGUUGUAAAAUUCUUUCGCUAGGGACGAUAAUGACGGUACCUAGUAAAGAAGCCCGCUAGCUUACUGUGCCAGCAGCCGCGGUAAUACGAAGGGGCGUAGCGUUGUUCGGAAUUACUGGGCGUAAAGCGCGCGUAGGCGGACUAUCAAGUUGGAUGUGAAAUCCCAGGGCUCAACUCUGGAACUGCAUUCAAAACUGGUAGUCUAGAGGCCAGGAGAGGUCAGUGGAAUACCGAGUGUAGAGGUGAAAUUCGUAGAUAUUCGGU
rnacentral:rRNA from 1 species